UCUUUUAAGACUAUGACAAAAAUACCCCUCCCAUAUUUUCCUCUCACACUCUUUCAUUCUCGGAUUCCUUCCUCUCUCUUAGAUUCUCGUACCCACCCACCACGGUUGAAGGCGUUCACCAUCCACGACUCCGACAGACCCAACAACGUUAUUGCCACCCUUCAACGACCGUGAAAGACCACCAUCGAUUGACUUUUCCACCUUCGCCAAUGACCCACGUCGAUUGGUCACCUUCUUUGUCAUUUGUAAGCAAUUUUGUGGAGGAAUAGCUUUUAUAAAUUUUGAUAGCAUAGAUGUAUUAAAGAGAAGGCUACAAAGUGUUCUCAAUAACACAGAAUAAAUGUGAGAUGGAUACAAGAGCCAAUAAGAUGAUGCUUACUUGGAGGGAAUCAUCAAGUUUGCUAGGAUGGUUCGUGCAAUGGGCUACAACAUUAUGCUACCCUGGGAAAGGACAAGUUGGGAGCAACUGCAGUAAAUCUUGUUGCAUGAGACAAACCUGCUGAUGUCUACUUAGGAAUAGCUGCCAAGUAUCUGCUACUUUCUCUGAUUGUAAUAACUAUUUACAAGUUAGAGCUAAUGAUCUCCAACUUAUAGUUGUCCCUAUGAUAAAGGCAAGUGAUCCUCCAAGAACAAUCAUGAGCUGAAGAACAAACAAGCAACCAUAUAUAAGAAUUUAACUUAGAUCA